AUGUCUUUAUUGCUAUGUUUGCAGGUGGCUUUUUAGCAGUCACAAUGUCCCAGGGCGCAAACCCCCCCCUCCUCCCCAAGACCUGUGGGACCCCAUUUUGGCUGUCAGGGUUUUUUUUGGGGGGGGGGUUGGGGUUUUGUUUUUUGUUUGUUUUUGUUUUUGACAUAAAGCGGAUUAAAGCUUCUACGUGGAAGACCGAAAUACUCAAAUGCAGACAGAAAAGAGGGAGACAUGGGCAGUGCCCUUUCCUGGGAUGGGGGUCAAUGAGUGUGAACCAGGCUGGUCUGUCAAUAGAAUACUGGCCACCCAGACAACAUUGCUGGGCAGAUUCUGACCUGACCACUCAUGUUGGUUAGAACUGACUAAAGGGGGACUAGGAUUGAAGGCUUUUUUUCCAGCUUUUUUUUUUUUUUUCUAACAAAAUUAGAUCUCUAUCAGACUCUUGGGGGUGGAGGAGGGUCAUUUCUGUUUUUAGAAAUAUACAGGCAGAAAUCACUCUUCUUAGAGUUUUUACAAAAUGUGCAAAAUACAAGUCUUCUUUGCCCUCAGGCAUAAUUUACACCUGGUAUUCUUGAUUCCAUAUAUAUCUAUAUACCGUAUAUAUAUAUAUGUGUGUAUAUAUAUAUGUAUUGUAUAUAUCUAUAUACUGUAUAUAUAUCUAUAUAUAGCCACUGUAUAUAUGUACACACCACGAGCACACGAGAGCGGGCGGGAGGGACGCACACACGUACACGUACACGCACACACACGGGGUCGUCAGCAAUUUGGUCUUGAGGGUCAGGGGCCAGAAGACACCUAACAAGCUCGAUGAUCUAGGAGGUGGGGGAGAAACUCAGAAUUGUUUUUACUUUAGCAGAGUACAAAAACAAAGCUACAGCUGGCACACAGAGUGGCUGGAACAAGCCAGGUGAGGAGAAAAGUCCCAUCCAUCAAAAAGCUCCUCCAGCUUUGGGGGGGGGGGGGGGGGGGGGGCAACAUUCCCACUCAUGGGAGAAUUGCCACUGAUGCCAUGGGUGGGGGUGGGGGGGCAACAUUCCCACUCAUGGGAGAAUUGCCACUGAUGCCAUGGGUGGGGGUUGGGGGGCAACAUUCCACUCAUGGGAGAA
rnacentral:lncRNA from 1 species